UAGACUUGACAUCUCCUGAAUUACCCGUAACUGGGGAAGUUCUUUCGGGAACAGGAAGACAGGUGGUGCAUGGUUGUCGUCAGCUCGUGUCGUGAGAUGUUGGGUUAAGUCCCGCAACGAGCGCAACCCUUAUUGUUAGUUGCUACCAUUAAGUUGAGCACUCUAGCGAGACUGCCCGGGUUAACCGGGAGGAAGGUGGGGAUGACGUCAAAUCAUCAUGCCCCUUAUGUCUAGGGCUACACACGUGCUACAAUGGCAAGUACAAAGAGAAGUGAGACCGAGAGGUGGAGAAAAACUCAAAAACUUGUCCCAGUUCGGAUUGUAGGCUGAAACUCGCCUACAUGAAGCCGGAGUUGCUAGUAAUCGCGAAUCAGCAUGUCGCGGUGAAUACGUUCCCGGGUC
rnacentral:rRNA from 1 species